AACUGGAGAUACCGGCCAGCCCUCAGAUCGCCACUCCGAGCCGCGGGGCCGCCAGCACCCGGAACGAGCGGCCAAGGCUGGGUCGGCCUGACGGCGACGCCGGAAGCGAAGACGCAGCUCGCCGGAGCCGGCCCGGGACCAGUCGACCCUGGCAUGUAGACCAAGGGCACGGCUGCCCGGCGACGGCGCCCGAGGCAGGAGGCGACCCUGCCCGAGCGGUGGGGCGCGUGACGUAGCGAGGCGCGCCCGGGGUGGAGACCGCGGCGGGGCUGGGUGCCGAGGGCCUGAGGCGACCCCGCCCUGGACCAGCUCAGCUCGACGGUGGUGUCACGUGGGCCUCCUCCCGACGGCGAACUGGGGAGGGCGCGAGGCUGGCCGUGGCGCCGCCGUAUAUAAAGCGUGUGCUCGGCGGUUCAAGUCAGUUCAGUUCGAGUUCCAGUCUCCAGUCUGCUCCAGCCUGCCUUCAAGACCGCAGUCGACCGGUCGGCCGAGACCCCGUCGGCCGCUGGGCGCUCGCAGUGAUUGGGUGUGGCGUGCACAGUGUCAGUGAUAGUGCUUGAGAUAACGCAGAUCUACCUCAUUCCCUCCCCCUAUGGCGACAAUCAUUUGUUCUUCAUAUUGGUGGAAGGGAUGUGGAAAACUGGAGAUACCGGCCAGCCCUCAGAUCGCCACUCCGAGCCGCGGGGCCGCCAGCACCCGGAACGAGCGGCCAAGGCUGGGUCGGCCUGACGGCGACGCCGGAAGCGAAGACGCAGCUCGCCGGAGCCGGCCCGGGACCAGUCGACCCUGGCAUGUAGACCAAGGGCACGGCUGCCCGGCGACGGCGCCCGAGGCAGGAGGCGACCCUGCCCGAGCGGUGGGGCGCGUGACGUAGCGAGGCGCGCCCGGGGUGGAGACCGCGGCGGGGCUGGGUGCCGAGGGCCUGAGGCGACCCCGCCCUGGACCAGCUCAGCUCGACGGUGGUGUCACGUGGGCCUCCUCCCGACGGCGAACUGGGGAGGGCGCGAGGCUGGCCGUGGCGCCGCCGUAUAUAAAGCGUGUGCUCGGCGGUUCAAGUCAGUUCAGUUCGAGUUCCAGUCUCCAGUCUGCUCCAGCCUGCCUUCAAGACCGCAGUCGACCGGUCGGCCGAGACCCCGUCGGCCGCUGGGCGCUCGCAGUGAUUGGGUGUGGCGUGCACAGUGUCAGUGAUAGUGCUUGAGAUGUAAGUACACGGGCUCAACCAGCCGCGCUGGCUAUGGCGCGCUGGUUGGGAUUAGAGGAGAGUAGUGGAGAGGAGAGUAUGAGAUCAGUAGUGAGUGUGGAUCUUUGUUUUCCCUAUCCUCAAUAAUAACACCUCUAUGUGUAAA